ACACACUUUAUUUUUAAAUGGAUAAAUCAUACAAGGUUGACUCGACAAGUCAAUUUCAUCACUUGUAGUUCAACUCUUGCAUAGACUUUUACCUGGAGGAGGAAUAAAUCGCAUGCAUCAUAACGUUAACAAGUCACUUCUAAAAGCAACUUUUAAAAAUCAAAGAAUUAAACUGAUAAAAUCAUGUGUUUCCAAUAGAACAGCAGUGAUGGAAAUAAAUUUCAAGUCGGAAAAUAAGCAGAGAGGAGAGGAAACACAAGACAAUCAAAAUGUCAAGGAUCUACUAUGUGCCACUUAAUUCCUAUCAAAUCAAAUGAUCACACCUCUGAGAGAGAGAGAGAAGUACCCUGAAGGAAACAGACGCCAUUGUGCAAGAGUCUACAUAAAGAAGCCACACCAAUUUGAGAGCUCUACAAAAACACAGCAGCCAGAGAGUCUCCCUGGAAGCCUGAGCAUGAGUGGUUGUUAACCAGGCAAAGGAGGAGAGGCAGUAAAGGGGACAGGAGUGGGGAAGGUGGCAGGAAGCACAGAGCAGGAAUUCAAGUUGGAAAGAAGAACAAGCCAUGCCUUGACGACAACAGGAAACAGCUGAUAAAUUAGGAGCAAGAGGCAUAGUACAGGUACUAGGCCAUGCUGGACUUAACUACAGGCUACAUUUUAUAGAAGGGACCACGGCAAGGAAUUGAAGGGUCUUAAGCAAGACAAUGGCAUGAUUAAAUGUGUUUCUAAAAUAGCAUUCAAGUUAGUGCGUGCAGAAUGGACUGAUGGGUACCAGAGUGAAUGCAGGAGAGUCAGUUAGGAUGUUAUCACAAUGACCCAAGUAAGAAAUGGCAGUAAUCCCAACUAAUUAUGAUGACAUUAGAGGUAGAGAAAAGUAGAUGAGUCAGAGAGAAAUGCAGGGAUAAAAUAAACAUGGCAAAACAGCAAUGGAUUAGAUCUAUAGUAUAAGGGAAAGAAGAAACGUAUAACUAGACAGAGGAUGGUGCUGAAAAAGGAUCAGCCCAUGGGUGGGAGUCAGGGUUGGAGAGAGACUGAACCUGCUACUGGACAUGAUAAGCUUAAGAUGUAUUUAAAACAUCUUAUGAAGAUGUGACGUCAACAGGCAGACAACUUUCCCAUGGUCCCCCAUGGCAGUCAUCAGUUUACAGGUGAAAAAAAUGAAGGCCAAAGAUGACAAGGCAUUUGCCUAAGACAAACCAUUUUGACUGGAAAGCCAAGAUCCUUCCACCACCCAUCAUUGCUGUGGUAGCUAAGAAUAUCUACACAUUUGGGGAAAUAGCCUAAGAAAAAUAAAUGAAUACAAAGAUCUAAAAUGAUCACCUACUUUCUAUCCCAUUUCCUGAACAUUAUCAUACAGAGUAGCACCUGAUUUGGGGACCUAGGGGGUCUGUGUUUAGGAAGAAGCUAGAAGUAGAAUGCCGGUAACUAGAAAGAUAAAAUUUUAAAAAGCAACAAUUCAAGACAUAUGAGUAAAUUAGGACUGCUGACAUCCCACUUAAUACAAGAGUCUCAUCUAGAGACAGGUGGUUCCUCAAAGUUUGAGAACUUCACAAAGCCAUUCUUCAAACCAGCCUAGAUUUUUGUUUAUACUAUCUAACUACUAAAAGCACAUAUAACGCAACUCUACGAGGAUUAUUAAAGAAUAUGGCAUAUAUAUGUGUGUGUGUAUAUAUAUAUAUAUAUAUAUGUGUGUGUGUGUCUUAUUUUUGUAUCCAUUCAGCCAGUCCAGGUCUUGGUUGGAGGCUUAAUGAGUUUACAUUUAAGGGUAAGUAUUGAUACAUAUGUUCUUUAUGCCAUUUUAUUCUUUGCUUUGGUCGGUCUUUUUUCUUCCCUUGUUCUCUUCUCUUGUGGUUUGAUGUCUAUCUUUAGUGUUGUGUAUGGGUUUCUUUUUCUUAUUGGUGUAACUACUGUACGCUUUUGGUUUGCAAUUACCCCGAGGUUUGGAUAUAGGAGUCUAUAUAUAUACACAAGAUAAGUUGUUGAUCUCUUAAUUGCAAGUGCAUCUCCAGUAUCCUGCAUUUGUACCCUCCUCGUCUCAUGAUUUCUGGUUUGGGUAGUGUACUUGUCUGUGGAUGAUUUCAUUCCUUUACUAUAUGUAUGCCUUACCCGUGAGCCUUCUCAUUUGUAAUUUUCUUGUUUCUAGUUGGGGUUUUUUCUUUUCUGCCUGGAGAAGUUCGUUUACUCUUUCUUGUAAAGCUGAUUUAGAGGUGCUGAAUUCUCUUGGCUGAUAUACUGUAUAAAGGAGAUGUGGUACAUAUAUAAAAUGGAGUAUUACCUAGCCAUAAAAAAGAAUGAAAUCAUGCCAUUUGCAGCAACAUAGAUGUUCCUAGGGAUUACCAUACUAAGUGAAGUUAGUCAAACAGUGAGAAACAAUCGCCAUCUGAUAUCACCUACAUGGUGGAAUCUUAAAAAGGAUACAAAUGAACUUACUGUAGAACAGAAACAGAUUCACAGACUUUGAAAACAAACUUUUGGUUACCAAAGAGGACAGGUGCAGGGGGUGGGCAUAUGCACACUGUGGUAUAUGGAAUUACUGGCCAAUGGAGAUCUGCUGUAUAGCACAGAGAACUCUACCCAAAGUUCUGUGAUAAUCUAUGUGGGAAAAGAAUCUCAAAGAGACUGGACAUGUGUGCAUAUAUAAGUGAAUCACAGCAGAAAUUAUCACAACACUGAAAAACAGCUACACUAAAAUAAAACUUAAAAAAAAAGUACAUAUAUAAAGCAUUUUAAGACGGCACAAGCCAAGAAAUUACAGUAAGCAUUUAAACACAAUUUCACUCCUUGUUUUCUACACGUUCUAAAUGACUCCCCAGUUUGGGAAAGGAUUUGGGGUGGACCCUGCUUCCUGAGGGACCCUGGCAAAGACUUGGAGUGGGACAUUUGGGUCUGAGGUCUUGCUUCACUUUAUCAAACUAUUUCACUGGUUGGCGGGUGUAUUUUAUCAUGUUAGAGCCUUCUUAAACUAGCUCUCAAGUUUCUGUGAUGCGUAAGUCAAUUGGUACGUACGAAAACAUUUUGUAAACUGUUAAGAAGCCAUUGAGAUGGAAGGAUAACGACACUGAUGAUGCUGAUCACGAUGGAAAAAUAACAGCAUCAAGAGGAAGAAGGCCAAGGAGGGAGGGGAAGGGUGAAAAAAAUGACCUUUCAUUUCACCACGUCAGUAAUGCUUAUGGGCAUUUCUUCCCUAAGGAUUGCCAAUAACUCAGAUUCACACGCUGGCUGGCACUGCUCUCAACUGGCUGUGUAACUUAGGCAAGUUUCUGGCCUCCACUGCUUCAAAUGUAAAUUAAGUAACUUAGGCUAAAGUUCUAAAUUUUGAAAGCCUUCUGAUGUUCAGUAAAGACAGUGAUUUGAUUUCUUUAAAAUUCAAAUGGUAGUAUCCUAUUUAUUUUAAAGCCCCCUGAUGGGGAAGUAACCGUUUCUUAACGAAAUAGAGAACUAGUCAUCAUCAGUUACAAUUACUCUAAGAAAGAAAAAUAAUAAUCUUAGAUAUUUGUUCUUUCAGAACAUACUUAUGUACUAUCUUUAUCUUAUAUUGUUUUCUAACUUAUUAGCCUUGUCCCUCUCAUUACACAAUAAACCUCUUUAGGCAGGAAAAAUUGAUUUUUUUUUUCAUUUCCUUCACAGUACCUAGCAACAUAUUGGACAUAUGCCAGACAAUAAAAUUUAGACAAAAUAUGUAACAUGUAGAAACUGAACUAUUUUUAUUACAUAGUAAGUGUAAUAAAUACUUAUAUAAUAAAUAUAUAUUUUGCUUUUUAGGGCUACACCUCUGGCAUAUGGAAGUUCCCAGGCUAAUGGUCGAAUCAGAGCUGCAGCUGUCAGCCACAGUCGCAGCCACAGCCACACAGGAUCCAAGCCAAAUGGCAACAACAACAACAACAACAACAACAACAAAAGACAAAAAAAAAAAAAAUACUAAAAUAAUUCUUCACUUAUGGGAUAUAUAUCAUUGUAACUGCAUGAGGCAAAGAACCUAAAAUCCUCAUUAAAAAAUACGGUAAUACUUAGGAUAACGUCACCUAUGUAUGACAAUUAGAAAGCCUAAAAAUUACAUAAAAGCAAGAUCUCUAAUAAACCUGUGAUGCAUUUUCAGAUUUUUCCAAGCAUUGUUCCAGGGCAUAAGCUAACAAAGUCUAAUGCUAAGGAAAAGGUAGUUUUCAAUUGCAAAUAAGUUUUAAUUAAAACCUAUCCAAUGGUAAGAUAAUUUACCAAAAAAUUAAUGUAUCUUUAAUCCUACUUCAAUUUAUAAAUACGAAAAAAGGUAGGGAAAAAAAUCACUAAUAAAGAAAUUAGGUAUUAGACAAAUUUUUAAAUGUUUCAACAAACUUUGUUCUUAAGGAAGCUUGAUGGUUGCAAAACAUGAACUAGGACUUCCACUGUAUUUCAGUAAAGGUAAUAAUUUUUUUAAAAACUUGCUAUGAAAAAGAAUUCACCAAAAGCAAAUAAGCCCAUUCAAGUAAAGAGACUAUCUAGCCCACUUCUCCAAAAACCAAUUAGACUGCUGUUUUACCAGGUCUAGUUUUUACGUAUACCACAAGUACAGUGGGAAACAAUUACUAAAUGCCUGUGUUGCACUUUAGUUCAUGGUAAAAAUAUUUUUCUUUUACAGAGAAUAUAAGUAGUAUUGAGCCUCAACUCAAAUGUUGCUCAAUAUACAAAUUUUACAGUUUUUAAUUAUCAGCAAUUUUAAGAGUAUUUUUCUACUGCAAAAGUAGUAUGUGCUUAUAAUUUUUUUUUUUUACUGAUAUCAUUAAAAAUAUUCCAUGCUCUACAUGAACCAUAAUGCAAAGUAUAAAGUAAAAAGUAUCUCAAAUUCUACCACCCAGGUAUAAGCCCACAUUUAUCAAUAUUUUGUGUCUUUCCUUCAAGUCUUACCAACUACAUAUAUGUUUUCGCAUAGUUGACUUUAUAUGUGUGUGUCUACGUACAUACAUAUGUGUACACACAUGCACACAUAGAUAGAGAGGAAGAGACAGAUUCUUCCCAGCAUAUUUCUCAAAGGAACUAGAAGAAAGACACUAAUGAACAAUAAUUGCAUGGUACAUAAUGUUUACCAUGGAUGAUUUAUAAAUAUGCCUAACUUUAAAAACUCAAUUCCUCUCAUCAUUUCACGUCAAUUUAAAAGCACAGUAAACUAGAGUUCCCGUUGUGGCUCAGGGGAAACGAAUUUGACUAGUAUCCAUGAGGACGCGGGUUCGAUCCCUGGCCUGGCUCAGUGGGUUAAGGAUCCAGUGUUGCUGUGGCUGUGGUGUAGGCUGGCACCUGCAGCUCUGAUUGGACCCCUAGCCUGGGAACCUCCAUAUGCCAUGGGUGCAGCCCUAAAAAGACAAAAAAAUAAGCACACAGUAAAUCAUCAAUUAUCAUAAUCGCCUAGAGAGUUCUGCCAUUACUAGCAAAGGCUACAACAGAAAGGAGCCAGUUAUUAUUUCAUGUGAUAAGCAAGAAUGACAAGCAAUUCCACAUGCACUGAGGAUAGGAUACAUGGCUCAAAAAACAGAUCUACUCAUUCUGAGGUAAGAGUGGAUGAAGAUGGGUAAACCUGCCAGAAACAGUCCAAGGCUGAGCUCACAGCCCAAGCUAAGAAUCCAACUGGUUAGGACACAAGCGAGGCAAGAACCUGUCUGUGCAAGAAUAACAUUCACCUUGUUCACCAGGUGAGCACCCAGAACUCACCCAUGUCAGAGACAAAGCAUAGUAUGAUGCUGCCGUGAUGCCCUGAUCUGGGAAAGGCAUCCGUGAGGGCAAACCUCACUGUCGGUUUCACACCCUGCCGAACACAGCUCCCAGAACCAGUGUAGAAAGCUGAGAAGCUGCCACUUCCGGCUCGCAGACUCUCCACGUCUCAGGAGCUACACCAGAGUUAGACGCCCACGAGGGUUCAUGUGCUCAAGUAUGACUCCCAACGGGUGCAGCAGUCCCACGCUAUGAAGCGGAAGCCAAAGCACAGCCGGUCCCAGAAGCGCACCAUCUGACAGAGCUGCCCAUCUGAGGAGAGAAAAACCGCGACGACCUCCCGAAGCAGCCGUCAGAGGGGUCCACGCCUACGCGUUAAUGCUGGUCAACCAACUUCUAUUCAGGGAAGACUUGGUCCGUGUGAACAUGUCCCCAGAGUGGUUAAUAGGAAAUUCUCCUCGACAUGCCCCUAGGGUUGACUGGGUAUUGAAAUCUACGGCUGACUCAGUGCCCACUCCCGGAAAUGCUCCAGGUGGGGCCGUGAAAUGCCUUAGUAACGACCAACGUGGGGCUCUAAGUGGGCUCAGCUCAAACACUCCUUCCAGACCUUCCAAGUCCCCAACGGCCAGAUAAGCAGGUGAAAAGAAAACAUGGGUCCACCUUCCUUUGUGGGCCUUUCCCAUCCUCCACUCAGUGGUUAAUCGGGAGGGAUUAUGAUUCUUCCCGUACUGGGGGGCAGUGCUUGAUCCCCCCAAUAACCUCCCGUUACACAAACUUCAGCAAUUAAAGGGAUGGAAAGGCAUUCAAAAAAGAAAAGUUAAGUUUCCUGGUAUUAAACAGGGGAAAAAAAAAAAAAAAAAAAAAAACAGUGGUCAGGGAUACCAGAGUCUCUCUCCUAGAAUCACCUCCUCUCCACGUUAGUCUUCAGGUGCUGAGAUCUCAAAUUGUGCUGACGCUACUCACUGCGUGUGAUUACACCUAUUUCGCCUCACUGUGCGUUUAAACAGUUUCACUCACAGUUGAAUCUGCAUGUGUUAUAGGAAUGUUAGAAAAGUUAUAAUAACCUCUGGAGAAACUGGCACGAGGUAGAAACUGGACAUCAGGGCCUCUGCCUCAUCUCAGAAGCCACAGCAU
rnacentral:lncRNA from 1 species